UACGAAGGGUGCAAGCGUUACUCGGAAUUACUGGGCGUAAAGCGUGCGUAGGCGGUUUGUUAAGUCCGUUGUGAAAGCCCUGGGCUCAACCUGGGAAUUGCAGUGGAUACUGGCGAGCUAGAGUGCGGUAGAGGAUGGUGGAAUUCCCGGUGUAGCGGUGAAAUGCGUAGAUAUCUGGAGGAACACCGGUGGCGAAGGCGGCAUCCUGGACCGGUAUUGACGCUGAGGCGCGAAAGCUAGGGGAGCAAACGGG
rnacentral:rRNA from 1 species